GUGUAUCUGAAAGAGGUUCCCAAAGGCGUCCCCAUGACUUAUAGUCUGCUGCUGAAACCGAUUCUUACAGUGAAAAAUCUCAAGCCAGCGGUCAUCAGUGUUUAUGACUACUAUGAGCCAAGUGAUUCGUUUGAGACCACCUACAUGUCUCCGUGUCCCGGUCCAUGAUUUCAGUGCUGGUUACAGGAUACAUGACUUGAAUAAAACUGCUUUUAUGCAAUCA